rnacentral:rRNA from 1 species
AGGAUGAACGCUGGCGGCGUGCUUAACACAUGCAAGUCGAACGAUGAACUGGAGCUUGCUCCGGGGAUUAGUGGCGAACGGGUGAGUAACACGUGAGUAACCUGCCCUUGACUCUGGGAUAAGCACUGGAAACGGUGUCUAAUACCGGAUAUGACCUUCAGCCGCAUGGACUAGGGGGUGAAAGAUUUUUUGGACAAGGAUGGACUCGCGGCCUAUCAGGUAGUUGGUGAGGUAAUGGCUCGCCAAGCCGAGACGGUAGCCGGCCUGAGAGGGUGACCGGCCAACACGUGGGACUGAGACACGGCCAG